rnacentral:rRNA from 1 species
UACGAAGGGAGCUAGCGUUGUUCGGAAUCACUGGGCGUAAAGCGCACGUAGGCGGAUGUGUCAGUCAGGGGUGAAAUCCCGGAGCUCAACUUCGGAACUGCCUUUGAUACAGCACAUCUGGAGUCCGGAAGAGGUGGGUGGAAUUCCUAGUGUAGAGGUGAAAUUCGUAGAUAUUAGGAAGAACACCGGUGGCGAAGGCGGCCCCACUGG